rnacentral:rRNA from 1 species
GGUUAAGCGACUAAGCGUACACGGUGGAUGCCCUGGCAGUCAGAGGCGAUGAAGGACGUGCUAAUCUGCGAUAAGCGUCGGUAAGGUGAUAUGAACCGUUAUAACCGGCGAUUUCCGAAUGGGGAAACCCAGUGUGAUUCGUCACACUAUCAUUAACUGAAUCCAUAGGUUAAUGAGGCGAACCGGGGGAACUGAAACAUCUAAGUACCCCGAGGAAAAGAAAUCAACCGAGAUUCCCCCAGUAGCGGCGAGCGAACGGGGAGCAGCCCAGAGCCUGAAUCAGUGUGUGUGUUAGUGGAAGCGUCUGGAAAGGCGCGCGAUACAGGGUGACAGCCCCGUACACAAAAAUGCACAUGCUGUGAGCUCGAUGAGUAGGGCGGGACACGUGGUAUCCUGUCUGAAUAUGGGGGGACCAUCCUCCAAGGCUAAAUACUCCUGACUGACCGAUAGUGAACCAGUACCGUGAGGGAAAGGCGAAAAGAACCCCGGCGAGGGGAGUGAAAAAGAACCUGAAACCGUGUACGUACAAGCAGUGGGAGCACAGAGCAAUCUGUGUGACUGCGUACCUUUUGUAUAAUGGGUCAGCGACUUAUAUUCUGUAGCAAGGUUAACCGAAUAGGGGAGCCGAAGGGAAACCGAGUCUUAACUGGGCGUUAAGUUGCAGGGUAUAGACCCGAAACCCGGUGAUCUAGCCAUGGGCAGGUUGAAGGUUGGGUAACACUAACUGGAGGACCGAACCGACUAAUGUUGAAAAAUUAGCGGAUGACUUGUGGCUGGGGGUGAAAGGCCAAUCAAACCGGGAGAUAGCUGGUUCUCCCCGAAAGCUAUUUAGGUAGCGCCUCGUGAAUUCAUCUCCGGGGGUAGAGCACUGUUUCGGCAAGGGGGUCAUCCCGACUUACCAACCCGAUGCAAACUGCGAAUACCGGAGAAUGUUAUCACGGGAGACACACGGCGGGUGCUAACGUCCGUCGUGAAGAGGGAAACAACCCAGACCGCCAGCUAAGGUCCCAAAGUCAUGGUUAAGUGGGAAACGAUGUGGGAAGGCCCAGACAGCCAGGAUGUUGGCUUAGAAGCAGCCAUCAUUUAAAGAAAGCGUAAUAGCUCACUGGUCGAGUCGGCCUGCGCGGAAGAUGUAACGGGGCUAAACCAUGCACCGAAGCUGCGGCAGCGACGCUGAUGCGUUGUUGGGUAGGGGAGCGUUCUGUAAGCCUGUGAAGGUGUACUGUGAGGUAUGCUGGAGGUAUCAGAAGUGCGAAUGCUGACAUAAGUAACGAUAAAGCGGGUGAAAAGCCCGCUCGCCGGAAGACCAAGGGUUCCUGUCCAACGUUAAUCGGGGCAGGGUGAGUCGACCCCUAAGGCGAGGCCGAAAGGCGUAGUCGAUGGGAAACAGGUUAAUAUUCCUGUACUUGGUGUUACUGCGAAGGGGGGACGGAGAAGGCUAUGUUGGCCGGGCGACGGUUGUCCCGGUUUAAGCGUGUAGGCUGGUUUUCCAGGCAAAUCCGGAAAAUCAAGGCUGAGGCGUGAUGACGAGGCACUACGGUGCUGAAGCAACAAAUGCCCUGCUUCCAGGAAAAGCCUCUAAGCAUCAGGUAACAUCAAAUCGUACCCCAAACCGACACAGGUGGUCAGGUAGAGAAUACCAAGGCGCUUGAGAGAACUCGGGUGAAGGAACUAGGCAAAAUGGUGCCGUAACUUCGGGAGAAGGCACGCUGAUAUGUAGGUGAAGUCCCUCGCGGAUGGAGCUGAAAUCAGUCGAAGAUACCAGCUGGCUGCAACUGUUUAUUAAAAACACAGCACUGUGCAAACACGAAAGUGGACGUAUACGGUGUGACGCCUGCCCGGUGCCGGAAGGUUAAUUGAUGGGGUUAGCGCAAGCGAAGCUCUUGAUCGAAGCCCCGGUAAACGGCGGCCGUAACUAUAACGGUCCUAAGGUAGCGAAAUUCCUUGUCGGGUAAGUUCCGACCUGCACGAAUGGCGUAAUGAUGGCCAGGCUGUCUCCACCCGAGACUCAGUGAAAUUGAACUCGCUGUGAAGAUGCAGUGUACCCGCGGCAAGACGGAAAGACCCCGUGAACCUUUACUAUAGCUUGACACUGAACAUUGAGCCUUGAUGUGUAGGAUAGGUGGGAGGCUUUGAAGUGUGGACGCCAGUCUGCAUGGAGCCGACCUUGAAAUACCACCCUUUAAUGUUUGAUGUUCUAACGUUGACCCGUAAUCCGGGUUGCGGACAGUGUCUGGUGGGUAGUUUGACUGGGGCGGUCUCCUCCUAAAGAGUAACGGAGGAGCACGAAGGUUGGCUAAUCCUGGUCGGACAUCAGGAGGUUAGUGCAAUGGCAUAAGCCAGCUUGACUGCGAGCGUGACGGCGCGAGCAGGUGCGAAAGCAGGUCAUAGUGAUCCGGUGGUUCUGAAUGGAAGGGCCAUCGCUCAACGGAUAAAAGGUACUCCGGGGAUAACAGGCUGAUACCGCCCAAGAGUUCAUAUCGACGGCGGUGUUUGGCACCUCGAUGUCGGCUCAUCACAUCCUGGGGCUGAAGUAGGUCCCAAGGGUAUGGCUGUUCGCCAUUUAAAGUGGUACGCGAGCUGGGUUUAGAACGUCGUGAGACAGUUCGGUCCCUAUCUGCCGUGGGCGCUGGAGAACUGAGGGGGGCUGCUCCUAGUACGAGAGGACCGGAGUGGACGCAUCACUGGUGUUCGGGUUGUCAUGCCAAUGGCACUGCCCGGUAGCUAAAUGCGGAAGAGAUAAGUGCUGAAAGCAUCUAAGCACGAAACUUGCCCCGAGAUGAGUUCUCCCUGACUCCUUGAGAGUCCUGAAGGAACGUUGAAGACGACGACGUUGAUAGGCCGGGUGUGUAAGCGCAGCGAUGCGUUGAGCUAACCGGUACUAAUGAACCGUGAGGCUUAACCUU